GGGUGGUGUGAUGUCAUUUGCAACAAGACGGCUGAUACUAAUAUGAGCCUAAAAUAAAGGACAAUAAUGGCAUCAGCCAUUCAAGUUAUGAUCCUGGCAGAUCUACUACUAUCUGAAAAGUAGUCUCUGCAGAUUGUUUCAAGAUACACAAGAUGGAGCGUGGAGAGGCGGGACAUGGAC